rnacentral:rRNA from 1 species
UGGGGAAUAUUGCACAAUGGGCGAAAGCCUGAUGCAGCAACGCCGCGUGAAGGAAGAAGGGUUUCGGCUCGUAAACUUCUAUCAACAGGGACGAAGACAAUGACGGUACCUGAAUAAGAAGCCCCGGCUAACUACGUGCC